GAGUAUUAUUAGAUAUAAUCUUUAAACUUAAAGAAUUUGGCGGUAUUAUAGUCUAUUUAGAGGAAUCUGUUAUAUAAUCGAUAAUCCACGUUGAACCUUACUUAUAUAAAUUCUUGUAUACCGCUGUUUAAGAAUAUACUUUUAGGUAAAUUUUCAAAAUAUAAUAAUAAUUAAUAUUUCAAGUCAAGGUGCAGUUAUAUAUAAGUUGAGUAAUGGAUUACAAUAAAAUUUAUUUAUUACGGAUUUAUUAUUAUAAUAAUAAUUUGAAGGUGGAUUUAAAUGUAAUUUUAUAUAGAUUAUUAAAAUGAUUUUUAGCCCUAUAAUAUGU
rnacentral:rRNA from 1 species